GCUUGCACCUGGUGGCGAGUGGCGAACGGGUGAGUAAUACAUCGGAACGUACCUUAUCGUGGGGGAUAACGCAGCGAAAGCUGUGCUAAUACCGCAUACGCCCUGAGGGGGAAAGCGGGGGACCGAAAGACCUCGCGCGAUUAGAGCGGCCGAUGCCUGAUUAGCUUGUUGGUGUGGUAAAAGCCCACCAAGGCGACGAUCAGUAGCUGGUCUGAGAGGACGAUCAGCCACACUGGGACUGAGACACGGCCCAGACUCCUACGGGAGGCAGCAGUGGGGAAUUUUGGACAAUGGGGGAAACCCUGAUCCAGCAAUGCCACGUGAGUGAAGAAGGCCUUCGGGUUGUAAAGCUCUUUUGUCAGGGAAGAAACACCGGCUCUAACACAGUCCGGGAAUGACGGUACCUGAAGAAUAAGCACCGGCUAACUACAUGCCAGCAGCCGCGGUAAUACGUAGGGUGCGAGCGUUAAUCGGAAUUACUGGGCGUAAAGCGUGCGCAGGCGGUUAUACAAGACAGGCGUGAAAUCCCCGGGCUUAACCUGGGAAUGGCGCCUGUGACUGUAUAGCUAGAGUGUGUCAGAGGGGGGUAGAAUUCCACGUGUAGCAGUGAAAUGCGUAGAUAUAUGGAGGAAUACCAAUGGCGAAGGCAGCCCCCUGGGAUAACACUGACGCUCAUGCACGAAAGCGUGGGGAGCAAACA
rnacentral:rRNA from 1 species